AGAGUUUGAUCAUGGCUCAGAACGAACGUUAGCGGCGCGCCUAACACAUGCAAGUCGCACGAGAAAGGGCUUCGGCCCCGGUACAGUGGCGCACGGGUGAGUAACACGUGGGUAAUCUUCCCUCGGGCGGGGGAUAACCUUCCGAAAGGAGGGCUAAUACCGCAUAAGACCACGGCUUCGGAAGGAGCAGCGGUCAAAGCAGGCCUCUUCGUGAAAGCUUGCACCUGAGGAUGAGUCCGCGGCCCAUCAGCUAGUUGGUAGGGUAAUGGCCUACCAAGGCGAAGACGGGUAGCUGGUCUGAGAGGAUGAUCAGCCACACUGGAACUGAGACACGGUCCAGACUCCUACGGGAGGCAGCAGUGGGGAAUCUUGCGCAAUGGACGAAAGUCUGACGCAGCGACGCCGCGUGGGUGAUGAAGGCCUUCGGGUUGUAAAGCCCUGUGGGGAGAGACGAAUAAGUGUUGGCUAAUAUCCAGCGCGAUGACGGUAUCUCCUUAGCAAGCACCGGCUAACUCUGUGCCAGCCGCCGCGGUAAUAC
rnacentral:rRNA from 1 species